rnacentral:rRNA from 1 species
GACGAACGCUGGCGGCGUGCUUAACACAUGCAAGUCGAACGGAAAGGCCCUGCUUUUGUGGGGUGCUCGAGUGGCGAACGGGUGAGUAACACGUGAGUAACCUGCCCUUGACUUUGGGAUAACUUCAGGAAACUGGGGCUAAUACCGGAUAGGAGCUCCUGCUGCAUGGUGGGGGUUGGAAAGUUUCGGCGGUUGGGGAUGGACUCGCGGCUUAUCAGCUUGUUGGUGGGGUAGUGGCUUACCAAGGCUUUGACGGGUAGCCGGCCUGAGAGGGUGACCGGCCACAUUGGGACUGAGAUACGGCCCAGACUGCUACGGGAGGCAGAAGUGGGGAAUAUUGCACAAUGGGCGGAAGCCUGAUGCAGCAGCGCCGCGUGCGGGAUACCGGCCUUCGGGUUGUAAACCGCUUUCGCCUGUGCCGUAGCGUGAGUGACGGUAAUGGGUAAAGAAGCACCGGCUAACUACGUG